AUAUGAGGCCUAUAAUUUCUGUUGAAAAGUCAGCCAUAAUUUUUAUUAUUACUCCUUUGAAAAUUAUAUAUUUCUACCAGUCUGACUGCUUUUUUUUUUUUUUUUUGUGGUACGCGGGCCUCUCACUGUUGUGGCCUCUCCCGUUGCGGAGUACAGGCUCCGGACGCGCAGGCUCAGCGGCCAUGGCUCACGGGCCCAGCCGCUCCGCGGCAUGUGGGAUCUUCCCGGACCGGGGCACGAACCCCUGUGCCCUGCAUCAGCAGACGGACUCGCAAACACUGUGCCACCAGGGAAGCCCACUCUGACUGCUUUUGAGAUUAUACAUAUGCUUUGAUUUUCUGUAAUUUCACUAUUAUUUGCUUAGAUGAGGACUUCUUUAUAUGAAUCAUGUUUGAAGUUUGUUGAAAUUUUUGAACCUCUGUGUCUUUCACCAUAUUUUGAAAAUUCUUGGUCAUUAUUUCUUCAAGGAUUGCUCUGUCUCAUUCUCCCUUCUCCUUGUGGACUCUAGUUACAUGCAUAUUGACUUCUCAAGCAUGAUGCAUUUGACUUGUUCACUCUGCCCCCGACCCUGGCAUUUUUCCUCUGUGUGCAUAGGUUUGUAUAUCUUCUUUUGACCUUUCUUCACUUAUCCUGUCUUCUGCCAUUCCCAGUCUGCUAUUAGAUCAAUCCAGUAAGCUUCUAACUCCAGAUGCUACAUUCUUUAGUUCUAGGAUAUCCACUUGAUUUUUUAUUGAUUCCAGUUCUUUGUUGAAAUUCUCCUCCUUUUCAUCUGAUUUAUCCUCCUUUUCUCUGUUUUCUUUAACAUAUUUAUUAAAGUUAUAUUAAGUACUAGUCUGUAAACUCCAGCAUCUAGAGCAUCUCUUGGAUUGCUUUUUCUCUCAUAACAAAAACAAAAAUGGUACUUAGGUGAGGUUAAGGAUAUGCCAACUAACCUUAUUAUGGUAAAUAUUUCACAUCAUAUACAUUAUAAAUCAUCACAUUGUACACCUUAAACUUACACAAUUAUAUGUCAAUUAUAUCUCAAUAAAGCUGGGAAAAUCAUCUUAAUAAAAAUCACCUUAAUAACAGCUUAAGAGCUUAUAUCAAUGAAGCUACAAAGCUUUGUAAUCAGGUGUACAAUGAAAGUUGAGUAGAGGGGCAUGUUUUUUCUCUGGAAGGGAAGAAUGAAUAUUAUAAACAAGUCAGUUCUUCCCAAACCAAAUUGUACUUUCUGUGCAACUCCAAUCAAAAUUGUACUGAGCAUGUUGGUAUUUCAAAAUUAUUUGACUUAAUAUGGAAAUCUAAUUAUGUGAAUCUAGUUUUAAUAUUUUUAAAGAGAAUAAUGGGAUAAUAACAGUAACCCCCACUAGAUAUUUUUGAAGGGAUGGAGCUUUUAUAAAAACCAAAUUUGCGUUGUGUUUGCACAGCUCUUCCCAGAGUCUGAUGCUCUGAGGUUCUACUUCACCCUCUUCUUGUGCUGAGACACCAGUCAAGACCCUGGUCCUCGGUCCAUAUCUGGGUGGCUGCUGGAUGAGAGGUGAGGAGAUAGAAGUAACCCUGAGUCUCCCUCACUUGCAGAUAAGCCAGCUUUUCUGCUUGUCUCCACACAGCGCCCCAGAUUCCCUGCUGCAGUUCUGGAAACUCCCAACCUUUCUGCCUGAUUAGUUUUCCACCUGGACCUGCCCCAGCGUAUACCUCAGAGCCCAUGCAGGUGCCACGACUUGCUGCUCAGAAUACCAUCAGCCACCUGAGAUCAGAGUGCCUUGCAGGAAACAGCAGCACUAACGAUGAAAUCAGAUAGAAAGGCAUCCUUUCUGAUGACUCCUUGGAGCCACAUAGCAGCCAUGGGACACCUACCUCUGACUUCACUGUAUACGAGUGAAGACAGUCUGCUUUCUAUUCUACAUUGCUAUAAUUUUGAGUUUCUGCUGUAGUGGUAGAACAAUUUCUAACACACAUGCACCCAUACCAAACACACGGUAAGAUGCAACUAAAAAAAAAUAGAUUGGGAAAUCUCGUGUGUAUAGAAGGCUAGUUGUUCCCUGUGGAAGGGGUAUGAGGAUCCCAGAGUACAGACCCCUGGAGAAAGGAAGGGCUCAGUGAGCUGCUCUUACUUAAGACAGAAGUCUCUGAAAGCAGAUUCCGGGCUCCACCUUCUACUAAGCCUCCCCUACCACCGAAUACCUAGGUCCCCUGCUUGGUGAGCUAAUUCUUUUUUUACUGUUUUUUUGGGGGGUUGGUUAGAGGGUUGUUUUGCUUUGUUUGCUGACAUGUAAACACUAAGGACAAGGGGAAACCUCUUGCCAGCUCCAGAAACCUCGAAGCUAUAAAAACAAAGACAUAAUUUAUUACAUAAAGACUAAAAAUGUUUCUAUAACCAAAGAUAUUAUAAAGUCAAUAAAAUCUGAUACAUUAAAUAUUUUAAUAAAGACAGAUCAAGGUUAAUAUAGCAAGUUCUGUAAAGUUUAAAAGAAAAAUUUUAAAUAAUAUAAUAAAUUUUGUAGAAAUGGCCAAUAAACACGUUUUUAAAAGAUCAAAAUUACUACUGGCCAGGGACUGGAAAAUGAAUAGGGAGACUGGCAGAAACAGAGAAGAGCAUAAACAAAAGAAAGUGACUCAGGGCAGAGGGUGAUUUAGAACAGGGGCGAGGACAGCAGCUCAGGGCAGUCAGACAAAGGCUAUCGUUUCUGGUCAGCAGCUGUGAGGUGAAGAAGGGACCAGACCUCUUAAGUAGAGCCCCACCCUGGUCAGAACCUCUCUGCCGAGUCUACCAUCCUCACAUAGACGGCCUACCUGACUCUGAAGAGCCUUAGUCCUUCCCCCAGGUGCCCUGCGGCCCUCGCCUUCCCCUGGGACCCCCUGGACCCCUGACCAUCCUGGAGCAAGUGCUUCUCAGCCCUGAUGUCCCUGGAGACUGAGCUGAGAGGACACAUACUGAAGGACGGGAGCCCCAUUCCUCCCUAGAGCUGCCCACCUGUUUUUCUUAUUUUCUCAGUUUCACAUUAGUGUUUUUUCUGAUAAGUAUCCCCACACUCAUCACUCCUCCAGGCGACAGGACCGGAUCCUGAGGCAGCAGAUCAAACACUGGGGAGAGGGACCGUGUAUCGGAUGCAGUCCUGUCCCUGCAUCAUGAACAGCAGGCUUGUGAGGCCCUGAACUCUGGGGGAUGUUGGAGAUGACGAAGAAGAGGAGAAGGACCAAGAGGUUUUGCAGGGGGGAAAUCAGAGCUUCAUUCCAACGCGGAGAAGAGAGGGAAGGAGACUAAUAUCCAGGCUGAGCCUCUGGGCUGCCCGACCAAACACAGGAUUCUCCCCAGGAAGCUCUAUGAAAAUACAUGGAUUAAAAAAUCAACAGGCUGAGCUUAUUCUCCUUCCAGAGGGGAGCUAGGAUUGCUCCAUCCUCACAAGCCAACACCAAGAUUCACAACCUCCUGGUGUGCACAUUCCCUCAGUACAAGCCUGCGCUCCCAGCUAGCCGUCCAGGACCACUAGGAGUGCUCUGGGAUGGGUUUAACCACCAGCGCAGCAGAAAGAAAAGGGCCUGGUUUGAAGCAUUAUCCAUUUCUACGGCGUAAAUAUUCCCAACUUGGCUAUUGUCCAGCUGUGAGUGACUCUCCUGAGGACUCCUCCCACCUACCCUCUCAGGAAAAAAGUCAGGACUUCUGUCCUAUUGGCCCUGUAGAAAGAACCCCGACCUCAGCCUCAGAGUAAGUCUGGAGGAAUACCUGCAAACUCCUUGGCGCUUCAGUAGAAAUGUUAAGGUGCCGUGGAGAGGGACUAUGAUGGAGACUAACUUCCUGGUGCCCAAGAGGCAGAAGCUUCAAAGCUCAUGCUUGGAAACUGCCUCACCUCGCUGUUCCCUGAGUCUCAGCGUAAUCUCCGUUCCAUCUUCUAAAGUCUGCUGAACACUUCUCAGGUGGGCGUGGAUCUUAAUUUGUUUCUGCCUCAUCUCCAUCCUUGUCCUGCUGUCCAUGGAGAUCUGUGAUAGUACAGGAGUCACUUUUGGAGGCCGUUCCUCUCAUCUGUUGUUAAGAGCUGAACUGUGAUGCCCAAAUUCAUAUGUUGACAUCCUAACCCCCAGUAUCUCAGAAUGUGACUAUUUGAAGAUGGAUCCUUUAAGAAAGCAAUUAGGGUAAAAUGAGGCCAUUAAAGUGGGUCCUAAUCCGAUAUGACUGGUGUCCAUAUAUGAAGAAGAGAUUAGGACACAGACACACAGAGAGUGAUGACCAUGUGAAGACACAGGAGAAGGUGGCCAUCUCCAAGCCAAGGAGAGAGGUUGCAGAAGAAACCAACUCUGUAGACAACGUGAUCUUGGAUUUCUAGCCUCCAGAAUUGUGAGACAAUAAACUUCUGCGUUUUAAACCACCCAGUCUGUGGUACAUUGUUAUGUCAGCCCUA